rnacentral:rRNA from 1 species
UACGAAGGGUGCAAGCGUUACUCGGAAUUACUGGGCGUAAAGCGUGCGUAGGUGGUUUGUUAAGUCUGUUGUGAAAGCCCCGGGCUCAACCUGGGAAUGGCAAUGGAUACUGGCAAGCUAGAGUGCGGUAGAGGGUAGUGGAAUUCCCGGUGUAGCGGUGAAAUGCGUAGAGAUCGGGAGGAACACCAGUGGCGAAGGCGGCUACCUGGACCAGCACUGACACUGAGGCACGAAGGCCAGGGGAGCAAACGGG